UCUUUUAUUUAUUUUACAUCUUUUAUUUGAAUGAUUCGUUGUAAUUACUCUAUGUCUAUGUGGAGUUAAACUUCUCGUUCUUGGAUUAUAUUUACUUACAAUAUGAUUGUUUAGUGAUUUUGAUUCGGCAUGAUUUGUUUAUCAUAUUAGUUGUUCUUAUAUUCUUGUGAUUACUAUUUUGAUGCUUGAUCACCAUUGAAAUAAAC
rnacentral:lncRNA from 1 species